GCGCCGCGAUCAACGGCCGCCACUUCCGGCCGCGCUCAGCCAAGAGCACUUCCGGCCCGCCGCUCACUGCCUGCGGGGCUGCCGGUUCGAGACCGCGGUGGUCACAGUCGUCUGACUGUUGUGAAGAACCAUCGCGGUUCAAGUGCAGAGUAGCGUAGCGCGUGGCUCCGCCGUGGUUAAUUUGGUGAUCUUUUCCCUGCUGCCCCUUGUUGCGGCUGGAGGGCUGCGGACGUAAAACCAGGUCGCUGUACAAGCAUGCUGUCUCUGCUUUUCCACCUGUUUCAGGAGUUGUAACGCUGAGAAACAACGUGACCCGCUGGAUUCACAUCUGCUCCCUGAAGAUUGCUUAACAGAAAAGUUCAGUCGUCUUCCCAUUUGAAACCUCAAGUCUGUUGCCGUGUCACUACAUCACCACAUUGCUUCUUUACUUUAAAUUAAUAGAAGUGCUUCAUAAUAUCUCUCUCAUAUUUAAAAAAAGAAAAAGAAAAA